UGAGUAACCUGCCCUUAACUCUGGGAUAAGCCUGGGAAACUGGGUCUAAUACCGGAUAUGACUCCUCAUCGCAUGGUGGGGGGUGGAAAGCUUUUUGUGGUUUUGGAU
rnacentral:rRNA from 1 species